CGGUCUCUUUUAAACUCGGUCCCGCCCUGGCGCCCUGCUUUUUCGCCCGGCGGGUUCCUGAUUCGGUGCUGUGUCCAGGAUGCUGAUGAAGUUAAGCUCUGGACUUUGAGGUGAACUGGUCUGACUUCCGGAAGAGAAGGUCUGUACCAUGUGGAUGCAGCACCCAUGGAGGCCAGAAGAGGGCAUCAAAUCCCCCUGGGGUUGGAGUUAAAGUUGUGAACUACCACCAUGUGGGUGCUAGAAAUUGAACCUAACUCCAAGAAAAGCAGCCAGCCCAGGCUCUUAAUUGCUAAGCUCUAAACUUUGGCAACUCAGAAUUGUUCAACAUGCUGUUGAGAGAUCUAGUGUCCCCAGGAGAGUGAGGUAUAUGGUAGGAUCCACUUGGUGUCCUGGCUCAGUACUUGCUAUGUGUACUCUUAAAAAAUGUAGCUGGAAUGAGCUGACAACCUUUGUGAUUUAAACUACCGGGUAGAUACUUCCUUAUGUUCAAAUGCCCUAUAGAGAAAUGAAGCAGAUUGAAGUUAAUGUUUCCAGUCAUAAGCCCAGCCUGAGCUAGCUGUGCAGUGAUGGUGCACUGUUUUAAUCCUGGCAGAGGCAGGUGGAUUUCUGAGUUUGAGGCCAGCCUGGCCUACAGAGGAAAUUCCAGAAAAGCUAAGGCUACUCAAAGACACCAAAAUACUCCAGCCUGAUCCUGUCAGGCACAGACCUCCUGACUUGAGCUAUAUAAGCUAGUCCUGCUAGUUCAAUAAUUGAGCUGUCCUCCAAAACAGUCUCCUCAGUCAUUCAUACCUGCUGAACCCUUGUCCAAGACCUUGCUCCUCAUUUCUUCUGUAUCCUGAUACCACCAGUGUGUAACAACUGAUUAGGAUCCAGUGAGUCACAUCUGCUGGUGAAACAGACUCUGACAAAUGGAAGAGGGAUAUUACAACAGACCAUGAUGUGCUCCUGAGGAAAUUGUUACAGGCUUAACAUAUACUACCCACCCUAUGCAGACAGCCCCCUGCUGGGUUUCUGCUCCCUUGUUGUGAUCACUCUACAGGUUUAUCUCUGCAAAAGGGAAAAAGACAGUGCUGCCACCACAGGCCAGGAGACCCAGACAGAGACCUAUCAGACAUCUCCUUGGACCUGCUUGGGGCAAUGCUGCCUUUGUCCAGACAUAUCAUCUAACUGAAGACUUCUGAGACAAGCAGAAGCUGACAGUCUUGGGACCUUCCAGUGACAGAUAAUCUCUCUUGCCAGAGCCUAAUGGCUACCGUACCUGGGGAAACUUUCAUGAUGUCUAUAUAGAUGUUGUUUAAAACCGAUGUUAAUACCUUCACAAACUGUAUACAAACUCAUUCUCAGUUUUAGUCCACUAAAUAUUUGAUUCAGUAACCCCUUGUUUUCCCAGCCCCCACCCCUCAUUACCCCUCUGGCUUAUGUGUUUUAUUUUGAUGCUUACCCCACCUGACCCGAAAUUUUCACUGCAGAUAACAUAAGAGACUGUUGCCCCAAUGAUGCCUCUCCUUUAUAGAAAAGAAAAGGUGCUGUGGAACAGUGGACCAUGCCAGGAAACUUGGUGAGGUUGAGCAGGUUGGAAGCCCCUGAACCUCUGAGGGCUGUAGGAGCUUCAUCUGCUCCCAACUGGGCCCCUGAUAGGGGACCACACUCCCUCCCUGAUGUACCCCAGAUCAGAGUUCUCCAUGCUAAUGAGGUAUCUAUAGGCCCUGAGGGUUUAGCCAAUAAGCAUCCCUUCCCUGACAUUUCUUCCUGCAAAACGUACUUAAUCUUUGGUCCACUCUGAGCAUAUGGUAUGUACCCAUUUUCCAUGAUGAACAAUCAAUAAACAGUUUAGAACCAA